CUUACUAUCUUGAAUCAAAGUUCAUUAAAAGAUCUUUCCAAUAACGUAAAUAAACGUAUUCUUUCCCCAUAUUACUCAUCUUCGUAUCUAUUCAAUUAAACACGACCAAGAAAAGCGACCUUUGUAACAUGAAACAGAUUGUUUAUCGAAACCUAUCCCCCUCAUAUUUACUCAACUCUCGAGGAAUGAUUAUAAACGAACUGAUGAUUUUUUUAUCGUGUCUGCGUCGUGAUUCCAUCAAAGAUGAAAUUCAUUAUAGAAUGCCUGAUUAUUUGUGUAAUAUUUUUCAGCUACGGAGCAUCUCAAAAUUUCUCGUUCCCCGACAAUAUAAUGCAAGGAGUGAAACCAGUAAUCGAUGUUCUGUUGACGCCUAGAAAACACGUCGAACGACAGAAAAAUCUUCUAAAGAAGGAACAAGCGGAAGCAAUUUUAAAAAAGCUUACAGAAGAACGAAACAGAAGAGCUCAAUUAACUCAUUCUACGAUGAUAGAUCCAGAUGCAUUAAAUUCCAACUUAAGGUGGUCGCAAGCAGCUAUCAAAUUAUCGAGUCGAAGAGUUUAUCCAAAAAGUACCACAGAAGCUUUUCAACUAACUGAUGCGGAAAAGAGCGAAGAAAAAAAUGAUGAGAAUGAUCAAAAUGUGGUAUCGGAUUCGGAUGAUUAUGAUAGUCAAUGAACAGCUGGAACCGAGCAGCCUGGAGUUAUGGGCAAGUACUUAUUAGCAUGCUAAAUCAAAGUCGAAAAAUGCACUCGACGUUAAAUACAACGAACUUAAAAUCUUAUUCGAGUUCCCUGCUAUAAUUUUAAAAUAUCAGUACUCUGUAAGCUUUUUACGUUCUUUUCUCUCAAUCGCCUAGUAUUUCAUUAUUAUUUAAUCCUUUGUAAAUCAUAAGUUGGUAAUAAUAAAGCUUUUUUUACGUA